rnacentral:rRNA from 1 species
GGAGCACGUGAAAUUCCGUGUGAAUCAGCGAGGACCACCUCGUAAGGCUAAAUAUUCCUGAAUGACCGAUAGUGAAAUAGUACCGUGAGGGAAAGGUGAAAAGAACCCCGGGAGGGGAGUGAAAAGAACAUGAAACCAUAAACUUACAAUCAGUAGGAGGACGACUAAAACGUCUAACUUCGUGCCUGUUGAAGAAUGAGCUAGCGACUUGUAGAUUGUGGCAUUUUUUGGUUAAUUCUUGGUCGGUAAAACAUAUCGGAGCCAUAGUGAAAGCGAGGACGAAAAGUUCA